rnacentral:rRNA from 1 species
CCCAGGCGGAUUAUUUACUGCGUUAGCUGUAAUACAGAGAACUGAUUCCCCACAUCUAAUAAUCAUCGCUUAUGGUAUGGACUACGAGGGUAUCUAUUCCUCUUCGCUACCCAUACUUUCGUAUCUCAGUGUCAGUAAUGAUCCAGAAAGACGCCUUCGCAACUGGUGGUCGACAUAAUAUCUACGAAUUUCACCUCUACACUAUGCAUUCCGCUUUCCUCUAUCAAACUCCAGCUAAAUAGUUUUAAUUGCAAGUCCGAAGGUAAGCUUUGGGCUUUCACAAUUAACUUAUCUAGCCGCCUACCUACUCUUUACGUCCAGCAAUUCCGAACUACGCUAGGUCCCUUCGUAUUACCGAGGGUGCUGGCACGAACUUAGCCGGACCUUAUUCUUCGGGUACAGACAUUAUCUUUCCCGACAAAAGAGCUGUACAACCCAAAGGCCUUCUUCACUCACGCGGCAUCGCUGGAUCAGG